rnacentral:rRNA from 1 species
AUUAAUAAUAGUUAUUUUCUUUAAAUUUAAAAAUUUUGGCGGUUUUUUAGUCUAUUCAGAGGAAUCUGUCCUAUCAUUGAUAUUCCACGAUAAAAAUUACUUUUUUUAAAAAUUUACAUAUCGUCGUAGUUUGAAUAUUUUAAAAGAAUUUUAAUAUUCAAAAAUUUUUUAAGAAAAUAAAUCAGAUCAAGGUGUAGUUUAUAAAAAAGAAGAGAUGGAUUACAUUAAAUUUAUUUAAAGUUUAAAAUUUUAAAAAUUUUAUUAAUUUGGAUUUGAAAGUAAUUUUAAUAAUUUUUUUAAAAUGAUCUNGCUCUAAAAUAUGUACACAUCGCCCG